rnacentral:rRNA from 1 species
UAAGCAUAUCAAUAAGCGGAGGAAAAGAAACCAACAGGGAUUGCCCUAGUAACGGCGAGUGAAGCGGCAAUAGCUCAAAUUUGAAAUCUGGCUCUUUUAGAGUCCGAGUUGUAAUUUGCAGAGGGCGCUUUGGCAUUGGCAGCGGUCCAAGUUCCUUGGAACAGGACGUCACAGAGGGUGAGAAUCCCGUACGUGGUCGCUAGCCUUUGCCGUGUAAAGCCCCUUCGACGAGUCGAGUUGUUUGGGAAUGCAGCUCUAAAUGGGAGGUAAAUUUCUUCUAAAGCUAAAUACUGGCCAGAGACCGAUAGCGCACAAGUAGAGUGAUCGAAAGAUGAAAAGCACUUUGGAAAGAGAGUCAAAUAGCACGUGAAAUUGUUGAAAGGGAAGCGCUUGCAGCCAGACUUGCCUGUAGUUGCUUAUCUGGACUUUUGUCCAGUGCACUCUUCUGCGGGCAGGCCAGCAUCAGUUUGGGCGGUUGGAUAAAGGUCUCUGUCAUGUACCUCUCUUCGGGGAGGCCUUAUAGGGGAGACGACAUGCAACCAGCCUGGACUGAGGUCCGCGCAUCUGCUAGGAUGCUGGCGUAAUGGCUGUAAGCGGCCCGUCUUGAAACACGGACCAAGGAGUCUAACAUCUAUGCGAGUGUUUGGGUGUCAAGCCCAGACGCGUAAUGAAAGUGAACGGAGGUGGGAACCCUUUGGGUGCACCAUCGACCGAUCCUGAUGUCUUCGGAAGGAUUUGAGUAAGAGCAUGGCUGUUGGGACCCGAAAGAUGGUGAACUAUGCUUGAAUAGGGUGAAGCCAGAGGAAACUCUGGUGGAGGCUCGCAGCGGUUCUGACGUGCAAAUCGAUCGUCAAAUUUGGGCAUAGGGGCGAAAGACU